rnacentral:rRNA from 1 species
UACGGAGGGUGCAAGCGUUAAUCGGAAUUACUGGGCGUAAAGCGCACGCAGGCGGUCUGUCAAGUCGGAUGUGAAAUCCCCGGGCUCAACCUGGGAACUGCAUCCGAAACUGGCAGGCUAGAGUCUUGUAGAGGGGGGUAGAAUUCCAGGUGUAGCGGUGAAAUGCGUAGAGAUCUGGAGGAAGACCGGUGGCGAAGGCGGCCCCCUGGACAAAGACUGACGCUCAGGUGCGAAAGCGUGGGGAGCAAACAGGAUUAGUUACCCUGGUGGUCCACGCCGUAAUCGAUGUCGACUUGUAGGUUGUGCCCUUGAGGCGUGGCUUCCGGAGCUAACGCGUUAAGUCGCCCGCCUGGGGAGUACGGCCGCAAGGUUAAA